GCGAGGGUUGCCCAGCCAGGCCAAAGGCGUCGGACUUAAGAUCCGAUAUCGAAGGAUUUCGUGGGUUCGAAUCCCACCCCUCGCAC
rnacentral:tRNA from 1 species